UACAGAGGUCUCAAGCGUUGUUCGGAUUCAUUGGGCGUAAAGGGUGCGUAGGCGGCCAUACAAGUCGGGUGUGAAAUCCCGGAGCUUAACUCCGGAAUGGCAUUCGAAACUGUAUGGCUCGAGAUCUGGAGAGGUGAUUGGAAUUCUCGGUGUAGCAGUGAAAUGCGUAGAUAUCGAGAGGAACACCAGAGGCGAAAGCGAAUCACUGGACAGUAUCUGACGCUGAGGCACGAAAGCUAGGGGAGCAAACGGG
rnacentral:rRNA from 1 species